rnacentral:ncRNA from 1 species
UCCAAGUAGCCCCCUAUGGUGUCAUCCCAGUGCCCAGACACUGGGAUCCAGGAAAAUUGAUUGUGCACUAUAGCAACAUUUUUGAUCAAAAACUGGAUUCCAGUGUCAAGCACUGGAAUGACACCCUUUCGAUGGGAACUG